AGGGGGGUUUGAUCAUGGGCUCAGGACGAACGCUGGCGGCGUGCCUAAUACAUGCAAGUCGAGCGAAUGGAGGAGAGCUUGCUCUCCAAAGUUAGCGGCGGACGGGUGAGUAACACGUGGGCAACCUGCCUAUAAGACUGGGAUAACUUCGGGAAACCGGAGCUAAUACCGGAUAGAUUCUUUCCUCUCAUGAGGAAAGAAGGAAAGAUGGUUUCGGCUAUCACUUAUAGAUGGGCCCGCGGCGCAUUAGCUAGUUGGUAAGGUAACGGCUUACCAAGGCGACGAUGCGUAGCCGACCUGAGAGGGUGAUCGGCCACACUGGGACUGAGACACGGCCCAGACUCCUACGGGAGGCAGCAGUAGGGAAUCUUCCGCAAUGGACGAAAGUCUGACGGAGCAACGCCGCGUGAACGAUGAAGGCCUUCGGGUCGUAAAGUUCUGUUGUUAGGGAAGAACAAGUACGAGAGUAACUGCUCGUACCUUGACGGUACCUAACCAGAAAGCCACGGCUAACUACGUGCCAGCAGCCGCGGUAAUACGUAGGUGGCAAGCGUUGUCCGGAAUUAUUGGGCGUAAAGCGCGCGCAGGUGGUUCCUUAAGUCCGAUGUGAAAGCCCACGGCUCAACCGUGGAAGGUCAUUGGAAACUGGGGAACUUGAGUGCAGAAGAGGAAAGUGGAAUUCCAAGUGUAGCGGUGAAAUGCGUAGAUAUUUGGAGGAACACCAGUGGCGAAGGCGACUUUCUGGUCUGUAACUGACACUG
rnacentral:rRNA from 1 species